ensembl:lncRNA
GGAACAAAUCCAGUCUCUCUGGUGGCAUACAAUUCUCAAAUAGAUCAGUGACUGAAGAUCCCAAUCAGACAUGAACUGCAAAUGGCUCUGGAUCCUGUCUCUUGUCUUCAUUAUAGGACUCAGCAGCCUGGCAGAAGCCCGGUUCCGUCCAUGGCGUCCACCGCGUCAACGUCCACGUCCAUCACGUGAAACAUCAGGAGAGAAUGCUACUGGAACAUGGCCAUACAGCCCGAAAAACCCACAGCAACCCAGUGAUUCCAGCCAUGAAAGCCUUCAACAACAUAUUGAGGAAAUUGUAAUGUACCUCCAUAUCGUAGACAAGUGUGCGGACGUCCAGGGAUAUCUCGAGCUACAUGCCAACGGAGAGGGUGCUGUUUUAGCAGUGCAGUCCAAAACGCCAAAUGUUUCCAUAAGGGAUGAUUGGAAUGAAUUGAAAUUCUGGCCUGAAUCUCACACUGGCAGUGGAAUCCAUGGAAGAGAAAAGAUUGUGGCAUUGCAGUUCAUUAUUUCCUGCUCUCUAAUUCCCCUCCUGAACUUUCUUGCUUUUAUUUGUGUGCAAUAUGAGAGAAAUUAGGUUAAAUCUGCAUUUAAUUAGAGAAAUUGCACUGAAAACAUACUUAUUUUAGCACACUUACCAGUGAUUUGUGGUAAAAUUGGAAAGAGGGUGCCACAACUUAUCAUUUUGGGAUGGGGUGUCCUCUUGCUCUACCCACAAGUUGAAUAUUCUCAUAGCCUAAUUUCCCCGGCACUGCUCCAUCCUAAAUUUUGAUAAUUUGUCAGGUAGCCUCAACUUCACAAAUAUUAAUCUGUGCUACUGCUCUUUAGAACACAAAAUGUAUUGCAAGUCCCUCUCCUUGACUGUACUAUCUUUCUGAAAGCUCAUUUUGCAUUAAAAAAGCAUUAUUAAAACAUUGUGUAUUGUAUUCUUUAAAAUGCUGUGGGAAUUUUUUUCAUUUUGGAUUCCAUUCCAGCUGCCACUGAAGGUCAUAUGAAAUAAUGUUUUAAAGCAGGGGGUGGGCAAUUGCAUGGGGUGAGAGUCGUCCUCAUGAUCCAGCUAAUUUUUGCCUCCAGUUUGCUUAAUUUUUGGACCACUUCCUGAUGAAAUAUUACCUUAAAAUAGUUUGGGAGGGUUGCCGGUAGAGAUACAGGGUUUCUGGCCUAGAUUGCAACCUUAUUGUGUGACUACACUUACUUUGUUUCCAUUGGAACUAGUUCCUUCCAAGUUUUGUUCUUGUGCAGAGAGGCUCCCACAUAUGUUCUCCUGCAUUGCAUAAGAAUUUGGAGGCAGGGAAAAUAAAGUUAUACAGUAAGAAAAAUCCAUUCAUUGUUCCAUUAUUAAUAGUAAUUCACACACACCCCGCGAUCACCACGAACACACACACCAGUCAUCAGCUAGUAUCUGAGUGGUGGCAGCAGGACCAGUCACUUCAAAGUACAGUAGAGUCUCACUUAUCCAACAUAAACGGGCCGGCAGAACGUUGGAUAAGCGAAUAUGUUGGAUAAUAAGGAGAGAUUAAGGAGAAGCCUAUUAAACAUCAAAUUAGGUUAUGAUUUUACAAAUUAAGCACCAAAACAUCAUGUUAUACAACAAAUUUGACAGAAAAAGGAGUUCAAUACGCAAUAAUGCUAUGUAGUAAUUACUGUAUUUACAAAUUUAGCACCAAAAUAUCACGAUGUAUUGAAAACAUUGACUACAAAAAUGCAUUGGAUAAUCCAGAAUGUUGGAUAAGCGAGACUCUACUGUAAGUGGAAAGAACAGCAAGGUCAAAUCCUGUGAUUCCUGCCACCAAACAGACAGGCAAAAGAAUUUACUUUCGGCAGUACCAAGGAUGUGGCAUCAAUAUUAUAGAGCAAAGCUCUGAGUGUUGUAAAUGUUAUGAUGUACGGUUCAGUGGUCAGAAUGGAAUCAUAGAAUCAUAGAGUUGGAAGAGACCUCAUGGGCCAUCCAGUUCAACCCGCUUUCAAGAAGCAAGAUGAAUCCGAACUUCUGACAAGGCUUUGUAUUGACUAACAGCAUCACUGUCAUCUCAAUUCCCUUCCAGCAUGUAAACUACCUAGACCAUAUUAUUGCCAGCUCAGAGCAAAAGCCUGGGUCAGCUUUCUUCAUGAUGUCAUUUAUACAUUAAAUAACCAAAGUUAGUGGUUCCUCCCAACAUUUUGUCUUCAAGAUAUUCUAGUCACACAAAAGGGUGAAAUAAUCAAGUACAACAUAGAAUAAAUCAUAUAGAGAUCUAGAAUAUUGAAAUGGAAAAUGAAUAUAAAAUUACAAUUCAGUGGAAUUUUGAAGAAUUAGAAUACUGCAGUUAGGUGUGAUUUUAAACUAUUUUGUUAUCCAAUUGUAUUUUAAUAUUAUAGCUUUUUGGAUUAUAAUAUUAGCAAUAUAGUUUGUUGUGCCCUUACUCUUGUAUUUCCCCCUUUCUAAUCAAAUUGUGUGCUGCCUUGCAUCCUAUUUGUAGGCGAAAGGCAAGAUAAACAGACUUCAAUUGGAAAGUUGUAAGUUUGGAAAAACUAGCUGCAGUGAAAAAGCACCUCCAAAUGAAAAUCAUUAUAAUAAUAAUACUAUAAUAAUUAUUUUUAUAACCCGCCUCCAUCUCCUUGAAGGGAAUCAGGGUGGCUUACAUGGGGCCAAGCCUGGAUAAAAUAGCGAACUGAAUAAAAACAUCAAAAAUACAGACAAAGAUAUUAAAAUUCAACACUCUAAACAUAACAAGAAUAUAAAAUAAUAGUCAUACUAAAACAUGGAUUUGGCACCCAAGUAGAGGGGUAAAAACAAACUGGGCAACACAAGGUAGUUGAUUCAGUGCAACUAUCAAUGGGA